rnacentral:rRNA from 1 species
CCUACGGGUGGCAGCAGUGGGGGAUAUUGCACAAUGGGGGGAACCCUGAUGCAGCGACGCCGCGUGGGUGAAGAAGGGCCUCGGCGCGUAAAGCCCUGUCAGCAGGGAAGAAAAUGACGGUACCUGAAGAAGAAGCCCCGGCUAACGACGUGCCAGCAGCCGCGGUAAUACGUAGGGGGCAAGCGUUCUCCGGAUUUACUGGGUGUAAAGGGGGCGGAGACGGCGAGGCAAGCCAGGAGUGAAAGCCCGGGGCCCAACCCCGGGACUGCUCUUGGAACUGCGUGGCUGGAGUGCAGGAGGGGCAGGCGGCAUUCCUGUUGUCGCGGUUCACUGCGUAGAUAUCCGGCGGCACCCCGGUGGC